rnacentral:lncRNA from 1 species
CUGUGAGCCAAGUGGAAAACUGUCUUCUGCUCACCAGUCUGCUCAGAGGAGAUGAGGCUCCCCAGCAGCAAAGUAAAGACAGAGGCUACAGAAUGAAACUGAUAAGUAAAAACGGAUGGCAAUAAAAAUCCAGAUGCUUUCUGAAGCACAUCACUGGCCAAACCAGUCUGCUUUGCCUACCAAACUGCAGAGGAGCCAACAGCAUGUGUCCCUGCUGGGACCCAGAGGUGGAGAUAGCUGUGAUGAUCCCUGGGCAUCCAGGUGCACAUUGUCACAAAUUUGUAAGGGCCAGCAGGAUUCACUUCAGGGUUAA